GUUCAGCAGCAAAGGCUGCGGCGCUGUGAGGAAGCCGCUGGAGCUGUUGAGGAUGAGCUGGCUCCCGGCGCUGCAGGGGACCGCCGAGACGGAGAUGAUGGACGCCCCGGAGCCAACGGGCUCCUCAGUUUCAAGAAUUCCCGAUGAGAAAGUAAAAGUACGCUGGACGUCAUUAUACAGUCAGACGCUGAAGGUGGCAGACCUGAUGGAUGCUGUGUUGGAGGGUUCGUUGAGAUACAAAACACAACGCAGUGACUUCAGAAACUGGG